GACGAACGCUGGCGGCGUGCCUAAUACAUGCAAGUUGAGCGAUGAAGUUUGGUGCUUUCACCCAUUUGAAGAUCAGCGAACGGGUGAGUAACGCGUGGGGAAUCUGCCUUUGAGCGGGGGACAACAUUUGGAAACGAAUGCUAAUACCGCAUAACAACUUUAAACAUAAGUUUUAAGUUUGAAAGAUGCAAUUGCAUCACUCAAAGAUGAUCCCGCGUUGUAUUAGCUCGUUGGUGAGGUAAAGGCUCACCAAGGCGAUGAUACAUAGCCGACCUGAGAGGGUGAUCGGCCACAUUGGGACUGAGACACGGCCCAAACUCCUACGGGAGGGAGCAGUAGGGAAUCUUCGGCCAUGGACGAAAGUCUGACCGAGCAACGCCGCGUGAGUGAGGAAGGUUUUAGGAUCGUAAAACUCUGUUGGUAGAGAAGAACGUUGGUGAGAGUGGAAAGCUCAUCAAGUGACGGUAACUACCCAGAAAGGGACGGCUAACUACGUG
rnacentral:rRNA from 1 species